rnacentral:rRNA from 1 species
ACCAGACUCCUACGGGAGGCAGCAGUGGGGAAUAUUGCACAAUGGGCGAAAGCCUGAUGCAGCGACGCCGCGUGAGUGAAGAAGUAUUUCGGUAUGUAAAGCUCUAUCAGCAGGGAAGAAAAUGACGGUACCUGACUAAGAAGCCCCGGCUAACUACGUGCCAGCAGCCGCGGUAAUACGUAGGGGGCAAGCGUUAUCCGGAUUUACUGGGUGUAAAGGGAGUGUAGGUGGCAUAACAAGUCUGGAGUGAAAGCCCGGGGCCCAACCCCGGAACUGCUCUGGAAACUGUGCGGCUAGAGUACUGGAGGGGCAGGCGGAAUUCCUAGUGUAGCGGUGAAAUGCGUAGAUAUUAGGAGGAACACCAGUGGCGAAGGCGGCCUGCUGGACAGUAACUGACGUUGAGGCUCGAAAGCGUGGGGAGCAAACAGGAUUAGAUACCCCCGUAC